GAUGAACGCUGGCGGCGUGCCUAAUACAUGCAAGUCGAGCGAACGGACGAGAAGCUUGCUUCUCUGAUGUUAGCGGCGGACGGGUGAGUAACACGUGGAUAACCUACCUAUAAGACUGGGAUAACUUCGGGAAACCGUAGCUAAUACCGGAUAAUAUUUUGAACCGCAUGGUUCAAAAGUGAAAGACGGUCUUGCUGUCACUUAUAGAUGGAUCCGCGCUGCAUUAGCUAGUUGGUAAGGUAACGGCUUACCAAGGCAACGAUGCAUAGCCGACCUGAGAGGGUGAUCGGCCACACUGGAACUGAGACACGGUCCAGACUCCUACGGGAGGCAGCAGUAGGGAAUCUUCCGCAAUGGGCGAAAGCCUGACGGAGCAACGCCGCGUGAGUGAUGAAGGUCUUCGGAUCGUAAAACUCUGUUAUUAGGGAAGAACAUAUGUGUAAGUAACUGUGCACAUCUUGACGGUACCUAAUCAGAAAGCCACGGCUAACUACGUGCCAGCAGCCGCGGUAAUACGUAGGUGGCAAGCGUUAUCCGGAAUUAUUGGGCGUAAAGCGCGCGUAGGCGGUUUUUUAAGUCUGAUGUGAAAGCCCACGGCUCAACCGUGGAGGGUCAUUGGAAACUGGAAAACUUGAGUGCAGAAGAGGAAAGUGGAAUUCCAUGUGUAGCGGUGAAAUGCGCAGAGAUAUGGAGGAACACCAGUGGCGAAGGCGACUUUCUGGUCUGUAACUGACGCUGAUGUGCGAAAGCGUGGGGAUCAAACAGGAUUAGAUACCCUGGUAGUCCACGCCGUAAACGAUGAGUGCUAAGUGUUAGGGGGUUUCCGCCCCUUAGUGCUGCAGCUAACGCAUUAAGCACUCCGCCUGGGGAGUACGACCGCAAGGUUGAAACUCAAAGGAAUUGACGGGGACCCGCACAAGCGGUGGAGCAUGUGGUUUAAUUCGAAGCAACGCGAAGAACCUUACCAAAUCUUGACAUCCUUUGACAACUCUAGAGAUAGAGCCUUCCCCUUCGGGGGACAAAGUGACAGGUGGUGCAUGGUUGUCGUCAGCUCGUGUCGUGAGAUGUUGGGUUAAGUCCCGCAACGAGCGCAACCCUUAAGCUUAGUUGCCAUCAUUAAGUUGGGCACUCUAAGUUGACUGCCGGUGACAAACCGGAGGAAGGUGGGGAUGACGUCAAAUCAUCGUGCCCCUUAUGAUUUGGGCUACACACGUGCUACAAUGGACAAUACAAAGGGCAGCGAAACCGCGAGGUCAAGCAAAUCCCAUAAAGUUGUUCUCAGUUCGGAUUGUAGUCUGCAACUCGACUACAUGAAGCUGGAAUCGCUAGUAAUCGUAGAUCAGCAUGCUACGGUGAAUACGUUCCCGGGUCU
rnacentral:rRNA from 1 species